AGUGAACGCUGGCGGUAGGCCUAACACAUGCAAGUCGAACGGCAGCACAGUAAGAGCUUGCUCUUACGGGUGGCGAGUGGCGGACGGGUGAGGAAUACAUCGGAAUCUACUUUUUCGUGGGGGAUAACGUAGGGAAACUUACGCUAAUACCGCAUACGACCUACGGGUGAAAGCAGGGGAUCUUCGGACCUUGCGCGAUUGAAUGAGCCGAUGUCGGAUUAGCUAGUUGGCGGGGUAAAGGCCCACCAAGGCGACGAUCCGUAGCUGGUCUGAGAGGAUGAGCAGCCACACUGGAACUGAGACACGGUCCAGACUCCUACGGAAGGCAGCAGUGGGGAAUAUUGGACAAUGGGCGCAAGCCUGAUCCAGCCAUACCGCGUGGGUGAAGAAGGCCUUCGGGUUGUAAAGCCCUUUUGUUGGGAAAGAAAAGCAGCAGGUUAAUACCCCGCUGUUCUGACGGUACCCAAAGAAUAAGCACCGGCUAACUUCGUG
rnacentral:rRNA from 1 species